rnacentral:rRNA from 1 species
CCCUUAGAUGUUCUGGGCCGCACGCGCGCUACACUGAUGCAUUCAACGAGUCUAAAACCUGCUCUGAUAGGGGUGGGUAAUCUUUUGAAUGUGCAUCGUGAUUGGGAUAGAUGAUUGCAAUUUUUCAUCUUCAACGAGGAAUGCCUAGUAAACGCAAGUCAUCAGCUUGCAUUGAUUACGUCCCUGCCCUUUGUACACACCGCCCGUCGCUCCUACCGAUUGAAUGAUCCGAUGAAUAUCAUGGAUUGAGGAUUAUAGCAGGUUCGCCUGUCUUGAUCUUCGAGAAGUGAAGUAAAUCUUAUCAUUUAGAGGAAGGAGAAGGCGUAACA